GGAAACAUGGAGAUAGCCAUUUACAAGCCAAGGAAAAAGGUUUGGUCCACAUCCUUCCCUCACAGGCCACAGAAGAAGCCAGCCCUGUUGGUACCUUGAUCUUGGACUUCUAGCCUCUAGAAUGGGAUUCCAUCUCUGCCAAGGAUGUGACAAAGUUUUGGAGGCUAGAGUGCCAUCUUGCUCCAUCUCACACCCUCAGCGAAGAAUUCUUAACACACUAUUGAUCACCAGCUGGAAAGGAGUGGAUGUGGCAUUGAUCUUGGAGGAAAAAGGACGUCUUCUUUAUCACUGCACCACCUGGGAAGACCAUUCCAAUAGAGAAAACAGUCUGCCUUGUCUUCAUCCCAGUGGGCUGGAUACACAGUGUCUGGCUGUUUGCCUGCGUUGCUGGCUCACCACUUUGAUGGGAACUCACCAGGACUUCUCAUGAAUAUCCACUGAAGAAUUCAAAGAGAUUGCCUUGCCUGGUCACAGAUCUCCUUAUAUGUCCCUACAUCAGAGUCACGUCUCUGCCCACCUCCCUGCACCAGCUACUGCAGACCAGAGCAUGAGGAAGAAGAACUCAUG